CCCGCUCAGACUUAAAUAGAAUGGACGGGGGCCCGGCCGACAAGACGGAGGAACAUGUGGUUUAAUUUCGAUGAUACGCGAGGAACUUACCCUGGGCUAGAACGCAAUCGGAAUCAGGCCGAAAGGUCUGCGCCAGCGAUGGCCGGUUGCGAGGUGCUGCAUGGUUGUCGUCAGCUCGUGCCGUGAGGUGUCGGGUUAAGUCCCAUAACGAGCGCAACCCCUACUGCUAGUUGCCAGCGGGUCAUGCCGGGGACUCUAGCGGAACUGCCAGCGUAAGCUGCGAGGAAGGUGGGGAUGACGUCAAAUCAGCACGGCCCUUACGUCCAGGGCUACACACGUGUUACAAUGGCCAGUACAGAGGGCAGCCACCCCGCGAGGGGGCGCUAAUCCUAAAAGCUGGUCCCAGUUCGGAUCGGAGUCUGCAACCCGACUCCGUGAAGCUGGAUUCGCUAGUAAUCGCGCAUCAGCCACGGCGCGGUGAAUACGUUCCCGGGCCUU
rnacentral:rRNA from 1 species